rnacentral:rRNA from 1 species
AUGAACGCUGGCGGCGUGCCUAAUACAUGCAAGUCGAGCGAACAGAUGAGGAGCUUGCUCCUCUGACGUUAGCGGCGGACGGGUGAGUAACACGUGGAUAACCUACCUAUAAGACUGGGAUAACUUCGGGAAACCGGAGCUAAUACCGGAUAAUAUAUUGAACCGCAUGGUUCAAUAGUGAAAGACGGUUUUGCUGUCACUUAUAGAUGGAUCCGCGCCGCAUUAGCUAGUUGGUAAGGUAACGGCUUACCAAGGCAACGAUGCGUAGCCGACCUGAGAGGGUGAUCGUCCACACUGGAACUGAGACACGGUCCAGACUCCUACGGGAGGCAGCAGUAGGGAAUCUUCCGCAAUGGGCGAAAGCCUGACGGAGCAACGCCGCGUGAGUGAUGAAGGUCUUCGGAUCGUAAAACUCUGUUAUUAGGGAAGAACAAAUGUGUAAGUAACUAUGCACGUCUUGACGGUACCUAAUCAGAAAGCCACGGCUAACUACGUG